AUCACAUCCUUUUACGGCAUCGGGAAGGCGACCUUCAGGGGGUGGCUCAGGCUUGUCCUCUCUGCCAGGAUGGAACGGAAUCUCGGGUCCACCAGUAACUUCAACAGCAACGACUCCGGCGAGCUGGUAAAAGUCACCGUAUGAAAGGAUCGGCACCUGUUCUUUAAUCGGCUCCAACAGCCCAACAGCGAUGUCAAGGCCUCUGUUAGCCUCAUGAGCGAGUUCCGCUGCGUUCUUCAUUGUGCCAAAUGGACCUCCCGACUUACUCUUAACGUCAAA
rnacentral:misc_RNA from 1 species